UGUUGUAUCUGAGUGCCUCUGCAAAGACAGUGAUUAUGUAUGAGUGAGGUGAAUGAAAGUGUUGAUUGAUGAUGAAAGUAUUUUCUUUUUGGGGAUUUUCUUUUUUUUGGGUCACCCUGCCUCAGUGGAAGACGGCAUACUUGUUGAAAAAAAAAAAAUGUUAAAUUAGUGAAACAUCAUACACACGCUGUCUAUUAAUUUGUUUUUGUAUUUUCCAGGGUUCUUCGAAAGAAUAUACUGUAAAAUUACCGAGUAUACGUGGAGAGGGUUCCGGGGGUCAAUGCCCCUGCAGCCUGGUCUAUGACCAGGCCUCGUGGUGGAUAAGGGCCUGAUCAACCAGGCUGUUACUGUUGGCCACUCGCAACCCGACGUACAAACCACAGCCCGACUGGUCAGGCACUGACUUUAGG